GUGCCAGCAGCAGCGGUAAUACGUAGGUGGCAAGCGUUGUCCGGAUUUAUUGGGCGUAAAGGGAACGCAGGCGGUCUUUUAAGUCUGAUGUGAAAGCCUUCGGCUUAACCGAAGUCGUGCAUUGGAAACUGGGAGACUUGAGUGCAGAAGAGGAGAGUGGAACUCCAUGUGUAGCGGUGAAAUGCGUAGAUAUAUGGAAGAACACCAGUGGCGAAAGCGGCUCUCUGGUCUGUAACUGACGCGUGAGUUCGAAAGCGUGGUAGCAAACAGGAUUAGAUACCCUGGUAGUCCACGCUGUAAACGAUGAAUGACUAAGUGUUGG
rnacentral:rRNA from 1 species